CAUGAAUAAAAGUAGUUAAGGUCUUCAUAACUCAAAGAAUUUGGCGGUUGAUAGAAAUUUCAGAGGAACCUGUGUAUAGAUUGAUAAACCACGCUAAUUUAUACUUAAAUUUUAGUUUGUAUACCUCUAUAUAUUAAGAGUGUUUUAAAAGAAUAUUUUCUUUUAGUUAUUUCUAUAAUUUUAGGUCAAGGGGCAGUUUUAUUUAAGUUUAUAUGGGUUACUUUAUUAUUAAAAAUUUUUUGUUUAUAUUUUAUAGAUUUAUAUUUAGGAUUUGAAAGUAAUUUAAAUUAAUUAAUUUAAAUGAAUUUUU
rnacentral:rRNA from 1 species